GAGCGGAGACUGGGAGCGAAAAAUCCGGGAUCCGGCAACUUUGGGCAGCGCAUGCGCACCCGCGGCGCUCCAUCCCAAACACACACACAUUUUUCCCCCGGACUUGGAAAGUCACCCAAAGCCGCCCCAAGUGCAGGGAGCUUCUGAUUCUUGAGGACAUUGCUGGUCUCCUGGGGUCAGGACUGAGACGGGGACUCCUGAGGAAUGUGGGCACCCAGGUCUGUUGGCCAUCUCAGCUUUUCUCUGCUCCUUGUUCCUCCCAUCCCCAGUCACUGGCUCAGAGGAUUUCCGUUUCCCUUUCUAAGCUUGCAAAAGAUGGGGUCCCACUGCUGUGCAUCUAAGUCCUAUCUGGAAAGAGAACCCCUGGAAGCCCAUCCCUCCCUUGCUUCCUCCCCACCCCCUUCCUUCUCCCUCUCCUUGCCAAGCAGUAUGGUGCAUAGGUGUCAGAUGGGCCUGGAUUCAAAUCACUUCCCAGUGUGUGACCUUGGGUGGGUCACAUCCCUCUCUGCGUCUUAUCCUCAACUAUCCAGUUGAGAUAAUAACCUACCUCCUUAGGUUCUUGUGAUGAUUAUAUGUAUUAAUGUAUUAAAGUCCUCAGUGUGUAGUGCUUAAUAAACGUGAGCUGUUAUUAUUUUCCUCCUCUACAGAGUCUGGAAACCUUUCCUCUUUCUUUUCAUUUGGCCUUUGACUUUGUUUAUGAAAUGGUUAUAGUUCACACUGUGUGCCAGGUACUUUUCUCAGCAUGCUACAAAUAGUACAUCUUUUUCAUCCUCAUGACCGUAUGCGGGAGGAACUAUUAUUAUCUCCAUUUUACUGAUGGGAAAACUGAGGCACAGAGAGGUUAAAGUAAUUUGCCCAGGGUUACACAGCUUAUAAGUGGCCACUAAUACCUGGCAGUCUGGCUCCAAAGCUUAUAUAUUAAGCCAUUAUGGCAUGCUGUCCUAGUGAUCUGGUGGGGUGGCAUGUGUAUGUGCGUGUGAGCAUGUGCGCAAGCAUGUGUGUGCUCACACAUGUUCCAACAGCCCUGCCCUUGUGGUGGUUUCCAUCUGACCCCUCUUCCUGACCCUCCACCUGAUAGGGCUCCCUCAGGUCAUCAGCAACGCGAGCAUUUUCUGGGGCCCUGUUCUGGGUGGAGUGUGUCUCCCCACCCCCAUGCCAUCACCCCGGCUUCACCUAGGCUACUGUGAAAAGGUGGUGGUUUCCAUGGAUAUCCGUCUCCCUCUGGAGACACGCCCUUUUUUGUAUAGCUCUGUUCCCUGGAGUUGAUUGUUUUUGGCACACCGCUCAGCAAACUCAUCCAACAAUUAAAAAGGGGGAGGGGUGGAACAAAAAGGGAGAGAUAGUAAGUGUGGGCUGAGUGACAUGCAGGAGGGGCCUCUGGGGUGUGGGUCUUCUCUCUGUCCCCUCUUGGCAGCAGGACAGCACCUUAGGUGUAGAAAGGCCACAUAACCAGCUGGCCAGGAGUUUCGCUUCCAGAGUUCUGAAAAUUCAGAACUCCACGUUUCCUUCCAUUUGAGCUGUGUUCUUGCCCCGUUUAUUUCUCCUUCAGAAAUCUAAAGCCCAUUCUCGGAGCCAUCUCCAGAGGCCACCUGAAGCCGUGGGAUGCCAGCUUGGACCGAUUUGAAUAUUUGCCGCCCUUGUUUUGGUUAAUUGUGUAUGUGUUUGCUCUGCUUGUGUACCAUCAAAUACCUGGUGCGUUGGGCGUACCCGUCGUAGGCUGUGUGAGAUCACAGAUGAAAAAUGCAGUGAAAAACACUUUCGUG
rnacentral:lncRNA from 1 species